GACGGAGGAUGCAAGCGUUAUCCGGAAUGAUUGGGCGUAAAGCGUCCGCAGGUGGCAGUUCAAGUCUGCUGUCAAAGACCGGGGCUUAACUUCGGAAAGGCAGUGGAAACUGAACAGCUAGAGUAUGGUAGGGGCAGAGGGAAUUCCUGGUGUAGCGGUGAAAUGCGUAGAGAUCAGGAAGAACAUCGGUGGCGAAAGCGCUCUACUGGACCGCAACUGACACUCAGGGACGAAAGCUAGGGGAGCGAAUGGG
rnacentral:rRNA from 1 species